rnacentral:rRNA from 1 species
CCUACGGGAGGCAGCAGUGGGGAAUCUUGCGCAAUGGGCGAAAGCCUGACGCAGCCAUGCCGCGUGUAUGAUGAAGGUCUUAGGAUUGUAAAAUACUUUCACCGGUGAAGAUAAUGACUGUAGCCGGAGAAGAAGCCCCGGCUAACUUCGUGCCAGCAGCCGCGGUAAUACGAAGGGGGCUAGCGUUGCUCGGAAUUACUGGGCGUAAAGGGAGCGUAGGCGGACAUUUAAGUCAGAGGUGAAAUCCCGGAGCUUAACUUCGGAACUGCCUUUGAUACUGGGUGUCUUGAGUGUGAGAGAGGUAUGUGGAACUCCGAGUGUAGAGGUGAAAUUCGUAGAUAUUCGGAAGAACACCAGUGGCGAAGGCGACAUACUGGCUCAUUACUGACGCUGAGGCUCGAAAGCGUGGGGAGCAAACAGGAUUAGAUACCCUGGUAGUCCACGCCGUAAACGAUGAUGNUAGUGUCGGAGCUGUCUCUCGUGACGCAGCUACGCAUUAAGACAACUCCGCCGUCGGGGAGGUACGGUCGGCGAAGAAUUAAAACUAACGAAAGGAAAGUUAGUACGGCGUGAGACGUCGCCGAACGGACGACCGACCGAGGGGAGGUUAGG